rnacentral:rRNA from 1 species
GCUGGCGGCGUGCCUACACAUGCAGUCGAACGCUGAAGCUUGGUGCUUGCCCGAACGGAGGAGUUGCGAACGGGUGAGUAACGCGUGAGUAACCUGCCUCUUAGCGGGGGAUAACUAUUGGAGACGAUAGCUAAUACCGCAUAAAAGUCGACAUUGCAUGAUGUUGACUUGAAAGGUGCAAAUGGAUCUCUAAUAGAUGGACCUGCUUUGUAUUAGCUAGUUGGUGAGGUAACGGCUCACCAAAGCAACGAUACAUAGCCGACCUGAGAGGGUGAUCNGNNGNNGCCACACUGGAGACUGACACACNCGCCCACACUCCUACGGGACGCAGNNNCAGUAAGGAAUCUGUCGGCAAUGGACGGAAGUCUGACCGACCAACGCCAGCGUGAGUGAAGAAUGCUCUUCUGAUCGUAAAGCUCUGUUCUAAAAGAAGACAACGAGUGUGAGCAGUGGAAAAUUCACACUGUGACGGGUACUUACCAGAAAGCGGACGGCUAACUACGUCCCCAGCACCCGCGGUAUAUACGUAUGCUCCCGAGCGUCAUCCAGAUUUAUUGGGCGUAAAAAGCCAGCGCAGGCGGUUAGAUAAGUCUGAAGUAAAAGGCUGUGGCUCUAACCAUAGUACGCUGUGGAAACUGUUUAACUUGAGUGCAGAAGGGGAGAGUGGAAUUCCAUGUGUAGCGGUGAAAUGCGUAGAUAUAUGGAGGAACACCGGUGGCGAAAGCGGCUCUCUGGUCUGUAACUGACGCUGAGGCUCGAAAGCGGGGGGAGCAAACAGGAUUAGAUACCCUGGUAGUCCACGCCGUAAACGAUGAGUGCUACGUGUUGGGUCCUUUCCGGGACUCAGUGCCGCAGCUAACGCAUUAAGCACUCCGCCUGGGGAGUACGACCGCAAGGUUGAAACUCAAAGGAAUUGACGGGGGCCCGCACAAGCGGUGGAGCAUGUGAUCUAAUUCGAAGCAACGACGAAGAACCAUUACCAGGUCUUAGACAUCCCUUCUGCACCGCUCUACUAGAUAGACGCUUUGCUGUCAGGACAGACGUCGACAGGUGGUGCAUAGAUGUCGUCAGAUCGUCGUCAUGAAAUGUAGGCUUAAGUUCCAUCGCAACGAACGCAACCCCUAUGUAGCUUAGUCCCCAUCAUUUAGCUGGGCACUCUUAGCGAGACUCCCGGUAAUAAACCGGAAGCAAGGGGGCGAGGACGUCAAAUCUUCAUCCCCCUUAUGACUUGGGUUCCACCCGUGUUCCAAUGGCUGGUACAACGAGUCGCGAGUCGGGGACGGCAAGCUAAUCUUUUAAACCCAGUUUCAGUUCGGAUUGUAGGCUGCAAUUCGCCCCCAGGAAUUGGGAAUCGCUAGUAAUCCCGGAUCAGCACGCCGCGGUGAAUACGUUCCCGGGCCUUGUACACACCGCCCGUCACACCACGAGAGUUGGUAACACCCGAAGUCGGUGAGGUAACCUUUUAGGAGCCAGCCGCCUAAGGUGG